GCUUUCGUGGUGUAACGGUAGCCCACCGGUGCGUAAUCGAAAGGUCCAGGUUCGAGUCCCGGCGAAGGCA
rnacentral:tRNA from 1 species